rnacentral:rRNA from 1 species
CUAUAGGGCAAAGCCAGUGUCAAGAACACAAGGUCUUGCCGCUGAUGUCCUGCACUGAUAAGGCUUCUAAAUGCAGAGGACAACAGUUGGUAUAUUGCAGAGCAUAGAGAGACUCAUAACCACCCGCUUUCACCUAAUUUUGGUGAGACAAUCCAUUGGCCAUCGCACAAAAAAAUAGAUGUUUACACCAAGGAUCUUGUGAAACGGCUUAGGCAGAACAAUGUGAACUUCGCAAAGGGGUACAGUAUCAUUGGAGGUUUCUUUGGGUCGAUGGAAAAUGUGCCAGUCACGGAAAGGUCUUUGCGAAAUCUUUGUGGGAAGAUAAAUAGGGAUCACACCGAUGACGAUGUUAAGAAGACAGUGGAUGUGUUUGCAGAGAUUGGAGCUUGGCCUAUUUGUUGGGGUGAACAACCACUUUCAGAGUGUGAUAUUGGCUUUAGUGCUGGUUCAUGA